AUUGAACGCUGGCGGCAUGCCUUACACACGCAAGUCGAACGGUAACAGGCCGCAAGGUGCUGACGAGUGGAGAACGGGUGAGUAAUGCAUCGGAACGUGCCCAGUCGUGGGGGAUAACUGCUCGAAAGAGCAGCUAAUACCGCAUACGACCUGAGGGUGAAAGCGGGGGACCGUAAGGCCUCGCGCGAUUGGAGCGGCCGAUGUCAGAUUAGCUAGUUGGUGGGGUAAAGGCCUACCAAGGCAACGAUCUGUAGUUGGACUGAGAGGACGACCAGCCACACUGGGACUGAGACACUGCCCAGACUCCUACGGGAGGCAGCAGUGGGGAAUUUUGGACAAUGGGCGCAAGCCUGAUCCAGCAAUGCCGCGUGCAGGAAAAAGGCCUUCGGGUUGUAAACUGCUUUUGUCAGGGAAGAAAUCCUCUGGGCUAAUACCCCGGGAGGAUGACGGUACCUGAAGAAUAAGCACCGGCUAACUACGUGCCAGCCGCCGCCGUAAUAC
rnacentral:rRNA from 1 species